CGUAAGUGUAAUGAGCGUCAAUGGAUUCACUAUAAUUCAUAGCUAUAUGAUUGCUGAAAGCCAAUAUAAAAUUACACGACAUAUUCAAAUUGACACACGAAACUUCUUGGGCUCAUUAGUAUCUAACAACGAAUACGUUUUACCGUAUGGAACAAUUUUGUUUUUAUUAACGUCACUAAUCAAAAUUGGUUGCAAACAAUUAAUAUGCUAGCAACUAAUGUGCUUUUUAUGCAUAGCACACAACGAUAACGAUUAACUCGCACCCUAGCAUCAAACAGGUGGGAUUAGAUGAUUUUUUAA